rnacentral:rRNA from 1 species
UCUAUGCGAAAAUCAGUCUUUACCCACUGAAGCUAAGCAGGGCUGAGCCUGGUCAGUACCUGGAUGGGAGACCUCCUGGGAAAACUAGGUUGCUGCUGGAA